UACGUAGGGUGCGAGCGUUAAUCGGAAUUACUGGGCGUAAAGCGUGCGCAGGCGGUUUUGUAAGUCAGAUGUGAAAUCCCCGGGCUCAACCUGGGAACUGCAUUUGAGACUGCAAGGCUAGAGUGUGGCAGAGGGGGGUAGAAUUCCACGUGUAGCAGUGAAAUGCGUAGAGAUGUGGAGGAAUACCGAUGGCGAAGGCAGCCCCCUGGGCCAAUACUGACGCUCAUGCACGAAAGCGUGGGGAGCAAACAGGAUUAGAUACCCUGGUAGUCCACGCCCUAAACGAUGUCAACUAGGUGUUGGAAGGGUUAAACCUUUUAGUGCCGUAGCUAACGCGUGAAGUUGACCGCCUGGGGAGUACGGCCGCAAGGCUAAA
rnacentral:rRNA from 1 species